CUACGUGCCAGCAGCCGCGGUAAUACGGAAGGUCCGGGCGUUAUCCGGAUUUAUUGGGUUUAAAGGGAGCGUAGGCUGGAGAUUAAGUGUGUUGUGAAAUGUAGACGCUCAACGUCUGAAUUGCAGCGCAUACUGGUUUCCUUGAGUACGCACAACGUUGGCGGAAUUCGUCGUGUAGCGGUGAAAUGCUUAGAUAUGACGAAGAACUCCGAUUGCGAAGGCAGCUGACGGGAGCGCAACUGACGCUUAAGCUCGAAGGUGCGGGUAUCRAACAGGAUUAGAUACCCUGGUAGUCCGCACAGUAAACGAUGAAUACUCGCAGUAUGCGAUAUAGUGUAUGCUGCCAAGUGAAAACGUUAAGCAUCCCACCUGGGGAGUACGCCGGCAACGGUGAAACUCAAAGGAAUUGACGGGGGCCCGCACAAGCGGAGGAACAUGUGGUUUAAUUCGAUGAUACGCGAGGAACCUUACCCGGGCU
rnacentral:rRNA from 1 species